rnacentral:rRNA from 1 species
UACGAAGGGGGCUAGCGUUGUUCGGAAUUACUGGGCGUAAAGCGCGCGCAGGCGGCUAUCCAAGUCAGUGGUGAAAGCCCGGAGCCCAACUCCGGAACUGCCAUUGAAACUGUUUAGCUUGAGGAUGAGAGAGGUGAGUGGAAUUCCCAGUGUAGAGGUGAAAUUCGUAGAUAUUGGGAGGAACACCGGUGGCGAAGGCGGCUCACUGGCUCAUUACUGACGCUCAGGCGCGAUAGCGUGGGGAUCAAACAGG